AUUGAUACUGUGACUAGCUUUUUCCCCUUCCCAUGAUCAAGAUAAUUCUGUAGAUCUCUCAAUUUAAAGGAGUCCGCCGAGCAAUUUUUUUCAGUAUCAAAGUAAGUAGCUCUCGAACACCAUGAUGCUGGGUUACCUCACCUUCGGCUGUUUCAUCUUAGCACAGGUCAAAGGACAAUGCCUUACCAGAGAACUCAAUAUAAAAGUAAAUAAUCUUCGUAAGAACACCAGAUGCAUUAUUGGAGACACAGCAAAUUUGAGAUUACCUACUGAAUGG